rnacentral:ribozyme from 12 species
UAAUGACGAUGAGGUUUUAAAUAGAAAGGGUCAUAAAUGGACAUUGGAACAGUAAGCUUUUCUUUUUCAUGACUUUUUUUUCUCUCUUUCCGCUGUUCCUUCUCUCUUUUCUUCCUUUUCCUUUCC